rnacentral:rRNA from 1 species
CGCUGAGAUCCUACGGGAGGCAGCAGUGGGGAAUAUUGCACAAUGGGCGCAAGCCUGAUGCAGUCCAUGCCGCGUGUAUGAAGAAGGCCUUCGGGUUGUAAAGUACUUUCAGCAGUGAGGAAGGUGGAGUCGUUAAUAGCGGCCUCAUUUGACGUUAGCUGCAGAAGAAGCACCGGCUAACUCCGUGCCAGCAGCCGCGGUAAUACGGAGGGUGCGAGCGUUAAUCGGAAUUACUGGGCGUAAAGCGCAUGCAGGUGGUUUGUUAAGUCAGAUGUGAAAGCCCGGGGCUCAACCUCGGAAUUGCAUUUGAAACUGGCAGACUAGAGUACUGUAGAGGGGGUAGAAUUUCAGGUGUAGCGGUGAAAUGCGUAGAGAUCUGAAGGAAUACCGGUGGCGAAGGCGGCCCCCUGGACAGAUACUGACACUCAGAUGCGAAAGCGUGGGGAGCAAACAGGAUUAGAUACCCUGGUAG